CCAAAGCCUUGUCCUUUCCCUCUCUAGAAAAAAUCGAAGUAUAUGAAUGCCCACAGCUUAAGAAGCUGCCAUUAAACUCGAGCAGCGCAAAUGGAGGCAAAGUUAAGAUUGAAGCAGAGGAACAAUGGUGGAAAGAUGUUGAAUGGGAGGAUGAUUCUACUAAAACUACCUUUCUACCGUGCUUUGUGCACUUCUCGCCGUUGGUAUUGAUUUUCACAUUUGCUUGGUUUCCAUAGGCGGCAGAGGAUGAGCUGGCAAACUAUGGAGUGGUGUAGUUGGCCAAAUGCUGCAUUUAGCUUUCGAAGCUGUGCUGGUGGAGUCUUUUUUUUUUUUUUCCCCAAUCUGGGUGUGUGGGUG
rnacentral:misc_RNA from 1 species